AUCAGGCCAUCCAAACACGGAAUCCAUAAAGUAAUUGUUUUUAUAAAAUAACAACAACGCGAUAGUCUUUCGUGUUUGGAUGGCCUGAUC